GUGUUGUGUGUGGGAUGCUGUUGUUUCAGUCACUGCCAGUCAUUUUCUCAGCUAUCAGGACGUGAACCCGUGUUUGCUCCUUGCAUCCGGGAGGCGCUGCUGAGGGGUGACCUCGAUCCACAGGAAGUGUGCGCUGUGUACGGGAACGUUUAAACCGGGCAUCCCUCGUUUUCUGAGAUGGGACGUGAAGGCCGAGUGGAGAUCGGUAGGCAGCAGCAAUGCCUCUGAAGUUGGGGACAAAGCGGGAAAGAAUCCAUGUGAACAAGCAGUUUGGGCAAUUUAUUUGAUUGUGUGUGUGUUUCCGGCUUUUAAAUAUAAAAAAAAUUUUCAAUUGUGGUAAGAAACACCUAACAAAAUUAACCAUUGUAACCAUUUGUUAGUGUACAGUUCAGCAGUGUUAAUUAUAUUCACGUGGUUGUGCACCCAAUUUCUAGAAUUUUUUCAUCUUGCAAAACUGAAGCUAUUAACAUACACCCAUUAAAUAGCUAUUCAAUUAGAGUUUUUAAAGGCAGGUGGUUCUUCUGAAACACAAGGUUACUGUCAGGCCCGUGGUGAACUCAAAUGUUUGCUAACUAUAGAGAGAAAGAUGGGAAAAAACAAAUGUUUAUACAUACAAUAACUAUAGCUACACAUAGAUAAAAUAUGUCUAUAUUAUCAAUAUAGAAUACAUAGUAAAUGUGUAUUUAUAACAUAUGUAUAAUUUAAUGUAAAUGUACAUUAAAUACAUGAAUUAUAUAAGAAGUUAAAUGUGUGCACGGACGUGUGUGUGCAUAUGCCCAUCCUCGAUUUACCCAAAGACGCGGGCCAUUGCAGAGCUCGCGCAUUCCGCAGUGGGAUUUCUUCUUAUUCCUCUGGUCCAGAUCUCCAGAACUGAUUGUGCUGUUUUCUUUCUCUGAAUGAAUCGAGCCUCAUGAGGGCCCUCUUGGCUCUGGCACCCAUGGGCCCACGCCGCGCCCCCGACCCCAGGUCUCAUCCCCUUUUUCGUGCACGCCCUCCCAGCCCAGUGGAGUCUUGGCGCCCCCGGCUGGAUGGCAGGCUGGCCACACUCCACCACGGGCCAGAUGGAGCCUGCAGUCUGCAUCCGCUUCCCCCCGAGUCACCCCGCAGCCAGGUCCGGAGCAUUCCACUGUCUCCCUAUCCCACUGUCAGUGUCUGCGUGCAGGUGCUGAGCCUGGCUUGGUGUUCUUCUGUCCUUUGUUUCCUGUGACCCUGUGGUGAGUGUGACCCCGUGGUGGGGCAGGGGCUGCUCUCUGGCCUUCCCAGUGGAGAGGAUGAGCAAGGGGCCCCGGCAGCCGAUGGGGGGCUUGGAGAAAGGGCGCUUACCCCACCCUGGGGCUCCUUGGGGCUGCCAGGGGAAUGGUGCCCAGGCUGGCUCUGAAGAUAGGGUAAGAUGACUGGGCCACCAAGGUGGGGGCUGUGGGGAGCGCUAGGGAGGCCCUGCCAGGAGCCGGUGCCCUGAGAGCAGGGCGGGCACUGGGCCAGCUCAGGCCGAGGGGACCUGCCAGACCCCUCCUGGGAGCUUGGACCUCCUUGGCCUGGAGCAGGCCUCUCAUGCUGGCAACACAGAGAGUCACGGAGUCAGAGGCCCUGGACAUUUUGGGGCCUCCAGAGGCACACGUGGCCUGUGAGCCAGCACCUGUGUGGACAGCGCCCUGGCAGUGGCUUCGGUUAGUGGACGGCCUCGUAACCUGUGGUGGCGACGCCUGAGCUGGGGCAGCUGACGCCUGGGGAACUGCUUUUGGUUUCAAGUUCAGAGUCAGAGUGAGCAGAGGUAGCCUUUGGGCUGCCAUAGAGGAGCGCAGCCCACCCCGGCUUUGGGAGGACAGCAUCUGGGCACCGAAGGCAGAGGCCCCGCAGGCUGGGGAUGUCUCUGAAGCACGCUCACGGCACCUCUGACCUGUGUUUUCCUUUGGUGGGAUUCCUGUGAAUGCCAUUUUGGCUACUGGUUUAUUUCUCUGAUAUUUACUCAAUGUGAUCUCCCAGGUCCUCUGUGCAGUUUUGUUCUGCUGUUCACCGGCUGAAGUUCCAGGCCCUGCUGCCUGAUCGCCUCUGCUUUGCAUCCGUUGGUGCCUGUUCUGCGGACGCCAUAGCAUCACUGUUCUCAGUGUCCCUCCUUAGAGGGGCUUGAAUUACCUCUGUGUCUUCCGGGCUCAGUUUUUCUGUGUACCUUGGUCAUUCUUUUUCUUGCUUCAACUUUUUCAGUGGCUGGUCAAUUGUUCAUAUCUAAGUAUGAGGGGAAGAUACAUUUCAGAUGGAUUCAAGGCUUAACUGUAAAAAGUUAUGUGUGUGAGCAUGCAUGUUUGUGUGUUUGUGUUAGUGUGUGUGAGUGCCUGGGUGUGAGUGUGCAAGUGUGAUUGAAUGUGUGAGUUUGAGGUUGUCUUCCCUGGGGUCACCAGGGGAGUGGUGUGUCACCCGUGGGGUUGGCAUUCACCUCCCCCCAGCCAUCUGCCUGGGACCCCACUGGCCUUUUGCUCUCUCGGGGUGUUCAUGGCAGUUGAUGUUAAAUGAUCCAUUGAGCCCAGCGUUUCACACCGUGAUGCCUUUGUUCGUUCAGCCUGCUAUCAUAAAAUACCUUAGGGUGGAUGAUAUGUAAAUAAUAGAAAUUUCUUGCUCACAGUUCUGGGGGCUGGGAAGUCCAAGAUCAAGGUGCCAGCGGACUUGGUGUCUGCACUGCCUUGUUUUUGUGAAAGGAUCGGGGAGGGAGGAAGGCAAGGUUAAUUUUUUCUUUCUGAUGUACUAGUGGAUAAAAAGAGUUCUAGAACAUUUGAGGAGGCCCUAGGGGAAACUGGAGACAUGGAAAGCAGAGGUUUUCGUUGGUAAACCAGAGAGAUGAGGAGUUUUAGUUUUUGUAGUGCCCGAUGCAUUGCCCCCAGCCUCUUUCUGUCAUGAUGUCUUGAUGUCUCCCUACUCAGCUGCUAGCACUUCUGCUGAGGGAAGCAGUCACAAAGGCCGGUGGCCCUGGCCUGAGCAUGGAUGUGGCUUUCUUGGUUCUUGGCUGCGGUUUCCUUGAACUCUCUGUGGUCUGCAGGACCUGAUGCAUGAGAAUCACAUGUGGGGAGGGUGUUUCUUGUGUUUAUCAGUGUUUCCAUUUCUUUGGAAGUUACCUGGAUGCUGUUAUGAGUGGAUUUGGUGGACUGAUUUGCAUGGGUGUGGCCUCAAGGACUGCAUUUUCUAAGGAGAUGGUGUUUUUAAUGCCUUAGCCAGGAGAUUGCAGGGGGCCGCGGGCCACAUGUGUGGUUCUCUGGGAAGAUUCUGCUCUGGAGCUCUGCUGAGGGAUGUUAUUUCAAACUUCAGUACUAUCUUCAUGAACAAAAGAACAACGUAGGUCUCCGUUGAGUUGCUCACAUCACCCGAGAGAGCAUGGCUUUGGUGCUCCUCACCCAUGUCCAGAUCAGAGCAUUUAGGCUUCACCUGGGGAAUGGACAGGGGCAGGAGCUGGGAGAUCACUGCCCAGGGGUGGCUCUGUGUCCGGGGUGACCUGGACUGGGCCCAUUGCCUCCUGGGGCUGAGGUUGCUUCCUUUCAUCGGGCCCUGUUUCUUUAGAAAGAUACUGGGCUUUGACUUUUGCCUUCUGUCGGCACCUGGCCCUGCAGCUGAUGGAAACUGGCAGAGCAAAGGACUUCACUGGGACAGUGAGCAGUGGGGCAGCCCUGUGUUUACAGGCAACCCCAGACCCUCUUAUGACAGAAGGGGAGGGCAGGGCAGCCGGCCUUCACCUGGAUAGGAACAGCAGGUGGCUGAUGUAUCUGAGUUGGUAUAUUCAUUCAGAGACAUUGGUUAAAAUUACUUGUCAAUAUAACAUCUUUACCAUUGUUUUCUUCAAAGCCAGAUUCUGUAUUUUCUGAUUUUAUGUAAACUAAAUACAUAGUUUUCUUAAAUACAGAUGACCUCUGCCUUCACAGUUUCUUUGGAUACCUUUCAAGUCAGUUUAACACACAUGCUCUCCGGAAACAAAACUCAGCCACUGGGGAACCGAACCUACGCUUUUGGUAGAAUCUCAGCCUUGGGGGGAGCCUGGAGGCCCUGAGCCCUGGAUGACACCUGCUCUGGAAUCCUCCACCAGUGGCUUUUGAAAUGUGGUUGGUGGCUGAAUCUCACUUCUGCCUUGGAUGCUUAUGGAAUCUUCUGGAUGGACUGAGCUCAGAAUCUCAUUGAAUACUGUGGUCCUCUCAGUCUGAACUUUGUACCUAAAAAUCCACGGGAAUCUCAUAGCAGCUGCUGAGGAUUUGGAGAACUCCCUUAGAAAAAUAAAAGGAAUUUAUUUUUUCCUAUUUUAUGUAGUGGCUAUUUAAAUUUUGAACAUCAAAUGGUAGUUUUGGAUUUUAAAAGCUCAGUGUGAAUAAACUUUGAGCUCAGAUGCAG
rnacentral:lncRNA from 1 species